UACGUAGGGACCAAGCGUUGUUCGGAUUUACUGGGCGUAAAGGGCGCGUAGGCGGCUUGACAAGUCACUUGUGAAAUCUCCGGGCUUAACUCGGAACGGCCAAGUGAAACUGUCAUGCUAGAGUGCAGAAGGGGCAAUCGGAAUUCUUGGUGCAGCGGUGAAAUGCGUAGAUAUCAAGAGGAACACCUGAGGUGAAGACGGGUUGCUGGGCUGACACUGACGCUGAGGCGCGAAAGCCAGGGGAGCAAACGGG
rnacentral:rRNA from 1 species